rnacentral:rRNA from 1 species
AGCUAGGUGUUUUUAAUACUUGGUUACUUCUGCUCAAUGGUAAGCUAAAUAGCCGCAGUACCCUGACUGUGCAAAGGUAGCAUAAUCAUUUGGCUUAUAAUUGAAGUCUGGCAUGAAAGAAAUUAUGGGUAGCAACUGUCUUCUAUAGAUUCUUAGAAUUUACUGAGUAGGUGAAAAUUCCUGCGGAUUAAUAAUAGACGAGAAGACCCUAGAAAUUUUAAUAUAAAAGCAUUUUAUUAAACUUACUAUUUUGUUGGGGCGACAGAAUAACAAUUGAACUUAUUUUAAUUAAUUUGUACUAAUUUUUGAGAAAAACGAAAUUACUCUAGGGAUAACAGCAUAAUUUACUAAAGUUUGUGACCUCGAUGUUGGACUAGGGUUUUUAAUAAUCAGAAGUUAUUAAAUUAGGCUCUGUUCGAGCUUUAUUCCCU